rnacentral:rRNA from 1 species
UGAGGAAUAUUGGUCAAUGGACGCAAGUCUGAACCAGCCAUGCCGCGUGCAGGAUGACGGCUCUAUGAGUUGUAAACUGCUUUUGUACGAGGGUAAACGCAGAUACGUGUAUCUGUCUGAAAGUAUCGUACGAAUAAGGAUCGGCUAACUCCGUGCCAGCAGCCGCGGUAAUACGGAGGAUUCAAGCGUUAUCCGGAUUUAUUGGGUUUAAAGGGUGCGUAGGCGGUUUGAUAAGUUAGAGGUGAAAUUUCGGGGCUCAACCCUGAACGUGCCUCUAAUACUGUUGGACUAGAGAGUAGUUGCGGUAGGCGGAAUGUAUGGUGUAGCGGUGAAAUGCUUAGAGAUCAUACAGAACACCGAUUGCGAAGGCAGCUUACCAAACUAUAUCUGACGUUGAGGCACGAAAGCGUGGGGAGCAAACAGGAUUAGAUACCCUGGUAGUCCACGCAGUAAACGAUGAUAACUCGUUGUCGGCGAUACACAGUCGGUGACUAAGCGAAAGCGAUAAGUUAUCCACCUGGGGAGUACGUUCGCAAGAAUGAAACUCAAAGGAAUUGACGGGGGCCCGCACAAGCGGAGGAACAUGUGGUUUAAUUCGAUGAUACGCGAGGAACCUUACCCGGGCUUGAAAGUUAGCGACGAUUCUUGAAAGAGGAUUUCCCUUCGGGGCGCGAAACUAGGUGCUGCAUGGUUGUCGUCAGCUCGUGCCGUGAGGUGUCGGGUUAAGUCCCAUAACGAGCGCAACCCCUACCGUUAGUUGCCAUCAGGUCAAGCUGGGCACUCUGGCGGGACUGCCGGUGUAAGCCGAGAGGAAGGUGGGGAUGACGUCAAAUCAGCACGGCCCUUACGUCCGGGGCUACACACGUGUUACAAUGGUAGGUACAGAGGGCAGCUACCCAGCGAUGGGAUGCGAAUCUCGAAAGCCUAUCUCAGUUCGGAUUGGAGGCUGAAACCCGCCUCCAUGAAGUUGGAUUCGCUAGUAAUCGCGCAUCAGCCAUGGCGCGGUGAAUACGUUCCC